rnacentral:rRNA from 1 species
GAGUUUGAUCCUGGCUCGAGGAGUGAACGCGUAGCGGCAGGCUUAACACAUGCAAGUCGAGGGCAGCGGGGUGUAGCAAUACACUGCCGGCGACCGGCGCACGGGUGCGUAACGCGUAUGCAACCUACCCAUAAACAGGGGCAUAACACUGAGAAAUUGGUACUAAUUCCCCAUAACAUUCGAAGAGGCAUCUCUUUGGGUUGAAAAACUCCGGUGGUUAUGGAUGGGCAUGCGUUGUAUUAGCUAGUUGG